rnacentral:rRNA from 1 species
UAACUUGAGAGUUUGAUCCUGGCUCAGGACGAACGCUGGCGGCAUGCCUAACACAUGCAAGUCGAACGAGAAAGUUCCUUCGGGAGCAAUUAAAGUGGCGCACGGGUGAGUAACGCGUAGACAAUCUGCCCUUCAGUCUGGGACAACUUUUCGAAAGGAGAGCUAAUACCGGAUAACAAUGCAUGACACAAGUUGUAUAUUUGAAAGCUUUAUGUGCUGAAGGAGGGGUCUGCGUCCCAUUAGCUAGUUGGUAAGGUAAAGGCUUACCAAGGCAACGAUGGGUAGCGGGUUUGAGAGGACGAUCCGCCACACUGGAACUGAGACACGGUCCAGACUCCUACGGGAGG